CCAGUGUACCAGGGGAACUGAUGGACUUACAGCCUGUGCCUGCCUGCUGUCCUGUAUGCAUCCAGAGGAGUACAUGGAUAUUAAGCAGUCACUACUGUGCCAUACGAGCUGAAGGAGAAGCAGAACUAGAGUCAAGAACACUUCAGCAAGUAACCGGUUACUUUCAGUGACCUGAAAGCCAGCUGAAAACAUGCACCAUAAGAGAGCAGCAUCACCUACCUGCCUCCUGAAGAGUCUAAGUAUCAGCUACUGAGAUCUCAAACAUCACCAAGUGUCCCUUGCCAGGAUAUGGGAGAAAGCUCCAGGAGCAGCUGGCUCACUCAGAACACGCAAGAUCCCCACACAAAUACCUGCAGCAGGAGCAGGCAAGCUGCAGCAGGAGCAGGGCUCCUCUGCCCUGCACCAAGAGCUAAGUGGAACCACAGCUGACCCAAUGGUUUUGUUGUGGGCUCACCGCAGCCUUCCAGCUCAGCCCACACCAAAGAGAUACGGACCCAAAGCCACAAAUAAAUACAAGCAGCUAAACUUGGACACCUCCGCUUUGCACAGAGGAACAACUCCACUGUGAUGCUCUCACUCGCACAUCACUUGCAACUCUACUUCACCAGGAACAAAAAACAUGUUUCCAGCAUUCCAGCUCUCUGCUAAAUUGGAUGCAGAUGAUGAAGGGUUUUUUUCCAAACAUAUGGAAGACAGGGCAGCUGAAAUCUCAGCUAGGCCUUGAGAGAUCCUGUGCAUAAGGCAUUAAGCUUUCUACAACACACAAGGAAUCUAGGCAGCAACUACUAUGAUUUCAUUUCAGAGUGUGAUUUAAGAUGAUAUUAUGAGACAGAAAUGUUAAAAUAAACUAAUAAAAGCCUUUCA